GUUUUAAGUAACAUUUGUUUUCAGUCUUUCAACAACUUAAUCGCCGUAAGCGUCAAAUGUCGGUCGCACUUACUUUUGACCAAAACACGCCACUGGACUUUUGUUGUUAAUUACUAUUAUACUGCGACGAUUUCGUGGGGAAGACUAGCCAAAUCAUAAAUAUUGUAGGGCGCGAGUAAAAAUACUCACUCCGUUGGUACGAAUACUGAAAUGGAGUGCAUCGAAUCCGACGAAUAAUAUCGGUAAACAAUGGGCGCCGCCUAUACGACUCACGGAUAUAAGGUUCAGUCGCCUAUUAUACACGAAAUCACU